UGCCAGCCGCCGCGGUAAUACAGAGGGUGCAAACGUUGCUCGGAAUUAUUGGGCGUAAAGAGCAUGUAGGCGGCCUGUUAAGUCGACUGUGAAAUCCCAUGGCUCAACCAUGGAAGUGCAGUCGAUACUGGCAGGCUAGAGUCCUGGAGAGGGUGGUGGAAUUCUCAAUGUAGAGGUGAAAUUCGUAGAUAUUGGGAGGAACACCGGUGGCGAAGGCAGCCACCUGGACAGGUACUGACGCUGAGAUGCGAAAGCGUGGGGAGCAAACAGGAUUAGAUA
rnacentral:rRNA from 1 species